ACACUCCUGCGGGAGGCAGCAGUGGGGAAUAUUGCACAAUGGGCGCAAGCCUGAUGCAGCCAUGCCGCGUGUAUGAAGAAGGCCUUCGGGUUGUAAAGUACUUUCAGCGGGGAGGAAGGCGAUAAGGUUAAUAACCUUGUCGAUUGACGUUACCCGCAGAAGAAGCACCGGCUAACUCCGUGCCAGCAGCCGCGGUAAUACGGAGGGUGCAAGCGUUAAUCGGAAUUACUGGGCGUAAAGCGCACGCAGGCGGUCUGUCAAGUCGGAUGUGAAAUCCCCGGGCUCAACCUGGGAACUGCAUUCGAAACUGGCAGGCUAGAGUCUUGUAGAGGGGGGUAGAAUUCCAGGUGUGGCGGUGAAAUGCGUAGAGAUCUGGAGGAAUACCGGUGGCGAAGGCGGCCCCCUGGACAAAGACUGACGCUCAGGUGCGAAAGCGUGGGGAGCAAACAGGAUUAGAAACCCGUGUAGUCCCA
rnacentral:rRNA from 1 species